CGGGACGUAGCGCAGCUUGGUAGCGCGCAGCGUUCGGGUCGCUGAGGUCGCGGGUUCAAAUCCCGCCGUCCCGA
rnacentral:tRNA from 1 species